AACGAACGCUGGCGGCGUGGAUAAGACAUGCAAGUCGAACGGGGUUGUUUGUGUAGCAAUACAUCGACGACCUACUGGCGAACGGGUGCGUAACACGUGAGCAAUCUGCCGGGAAGUGGGGGAUAGCUCGCCGAAAGGCGAAUUAAUACCGCAUGUGGCCAGAGGGGACAUCCCUUCGACGCCAAAGUCGCAAGACGCUUCCUGAUGAGCUCGCGGCCUAUCAGCUUGUUGGUGAGGUAACGGCUCACCAAGGCUAUGACGGGUAGCUGGUCUGAGCGGACGACCAGCCACACUGGAACUGAGACACGGUCCAGACACCUACGGGUGGCAGCAGUCGAGAAUUUUUCACAAUGGGGGCAACCCUGAUGGAGCGACGCCGCGUGGAGGAUGAAGGUCUUCGGAUUGUAAACUCCUGUCAUGCGAGAACAAGAAAGUGAUAGUAUCGCAAGAGGAAGAGACGGCUAACUCUGUGCCAGCCGCCGCCGUAA
rnacentral:rRNA from 1 species